CAGGAUUAGCGAUUACAGGGAC
rnacentral:miRNA from 1 species